rnacentral:misc_RNA from 1 species
CAAGGUGCUAUUGCCAAGAUUAGUAGUGCAAGUGAUGGAGUGUCCAAUUCAACUCCAAACCCCAUCACUGGUCCAUCUUCCUUUAUGCCAAUAAGCCUAACAGCUGGUGUCCCAGGAAAAGUUCCAGUAUUGAUGCUUAUAGACUGCCAUUUCCUUCACAGAUUAUGUCAACUUUUGCUUUUCUGUUUUUUCUUUCGGCGAACUCAGCUACCUCGCUUUAUUGGAGGUGCACAGAAAAAUACGGAUACAAAUAUGCAAAAACCUCAGUCUGCUCCACCUGCAAAGGUUGAGGAGAGUAAUUCUGUUUCUUCUAAACCAGCUCCAACUAUGGUCAGAUCAGAUGAAGGCCAGGCUGCUGGAGGAGGUCAACUUGUGCCUGGAGCCAAGGGAGUUGAAGAUGGACCUGCUGGCCGGUCAAGACUGGGUUAUGGCAAUGCUGGUCAAGGAUACACUUUUGAAGAGGUGAAGGUCCUUUUCCUCAUACUCAUGGAUCUUUGUCGGCGAACAGUGGCUCUAGCACACCCAUUACCAGUUUCUCANGGGAAGCAGCAGCAUCCAGGUGCGGCUGCAUUAUAUUGAUGGGAAUUAUACUGUAUUACCGGAGGUCGUAGAAGCAUCCCUUGGCCCACAUAUGCAGAACAUGCCCCGGCCUAGAGGUGCAGAUGCUGCUGGUCUGUUGCUGAGGGAAUUGGAACUCCACCCUCCAUCUGAAGAGUGGCACAGGCGGAAUAUGUUUGGUGGCCCCUGGUCUGACCCAGAUGAUAUGGGUUCUGCUGAUGAUACGCCAAGGAUGAGCAGUUAUACAGAUUCUCUUGAUUUCAGCUCAUCGGAAAAUUGUGAUGUUUAUUAUGGGGUUAAUGGCCUAUGGCCAAGGAAGCGCAGAAUGUCUGAAAGAGAUGCAGCUUUUGGCUUAAAUACUUCUGUUGGUCUGGGAGCAUACCUUGGGAUUAUGGGAUCUCGAAGAGAUGUUGUUACUGCAGUGUGGAAGACUGGUCUUGAAGGGGUCUGGUACAAGUGCAUAAGAUGCUUGCGGCAGACUUCAGCUUUUGCUUCGUCAGGGUCUGCAAAUUCACCUAAUCAAAAUGUCAGGGAAGCAUGGUGGAUUAGCCGUUGGGCCUAUGGCUGUCCUAUGUGCGGUGGAACAUGGGUUCGGGUUGUAUAGACGAGAUCACCAUACUUGGAAUUGCAUAUGACUGGCAUCACAAGAAGCAACAAGAAAUUAUAGCAUAGACAUCAUAAGAAGUCCUGCCUUGUGAAUUGUGCUCGGCCAUGCAGUUUAUGGUUGGAGCUUGCAAGUGUGAUAGACCAGUACCAUACCAGGACUGCAGAAAAUUGCUUGUACAGAGUAUAAGACGUAGACGCCGUUAACUUUGUUAGUAUUAGUUGUACAAGCAAUUUUUGCCCCUCUCAUUUAGAAAGAAAUGAUUUAACUAGUAUAUUGUGCAUUAUAGAGAAUGGAGGACCUAGCGAGGAUAGCAAGUGUUGGAUGGUUACCGAGAAUGGAAUUGAAGCCAUUUUGCAUUGUACAUCAUGAAAUAAUUUCGCUGAAAUAUCUGAUCUCUAGUACUCGAUUAUGUUGUAGCUUAUUCUAAUGCAAGUUCUCUACAUCACUAGGAGUCGA